UGGGUGCUCGAGUGGCGAACGGGUGAGUAACACGUGAGUAACCUGCCCUUGACUUUGGGAUAACUUCAGGAAACUGGGGCUAAUACCGGACAGGAGCUCCUGCUGCAUGGUGGGGGUUGGAAAGUUUCGGCGGUUGGGGAUGGACUCGCGGCUUAUCAGCUUGUUGGUGGGGUAGUGGCUUACCAAGGCUUUGACGGGUAGCCGGCCUGAGAGGGUGACCGGCCACAUUGGGACUGAGAUACGGCCCAG
rnacentral:rRNA from 1 species